AUUGAACAUAAGAGUUUGAUCCUGGCUCAGAUUGAACGCUGGCGGCAUGCUUUACACAUGCAAGUCGGACGGCAGCACAGGGAAGCUUGCUUCUCGGGUGGCGAGUGGCGAACGGGUGAGUAACAUAUCGGAACGUACCGGGUAGCGGGGGAUAACUGAUCGAAAGAUCAGCUAAUACCGCAUACGUCUUGAGAGGGAAAGCAGGGGACCUUCGGGCCUUGCGCUAUCCGAGCGGCCGAUAUCUGAUUAGCUGGUUGGCGGGGUAAAGGCCCACCAAGGCGACGAUCAGUAGCGGGUCUGAGAGGAUGAUCCGCCACACUGGGACUGAGACACGGCCCAGACUCCUACGGGAGGCAGCAGUGGGGAAUUUUGGACAAUGGGCGCAAGCCUGAUCCAGCCAUGCCGCGUGUCUGAAGAAGGCCUUCGGGUUGUAAAGGACUUUUGUCAGGGAAGAAAAGGCCGUUGCCAAUAUCGGCGGCUGAUGACGGUACCUGAAGAAUAAGCACCGGCUAACUACGUGCCAGCAGCCGCGGUAAUACGUAGGGUGCGAGCGUUAAUCGGAAUUACUGGGCGUAAAGCGGGCGCAGACGGUUACUUAAGCAGGAUGUGAAAUCCCCGGGCUCAACCCGGGAACUGCGUUCUGAACUGGGUGACUCGAGUGUGUCAGAGGGAGGUGGAAUUCCACGUGUAGCAGUGAAAUGCGUAGAGAUGUGGAGGAAUACCGAUGGCGAAGGCAGCCUCCUGGGAUAACACUGACGUUCAUGUCCGAAAGCGUGGGUAGCAAACAGGAUUAGAUACCCUGGUAGUCCACGCCCUAAACGAUGUCAAUUAGCUGUUGGGCAACUUGAUUGCUUGGUAGCGUAGCUAACGCGUGAAAUUGACCGCCUGGGGAGUACGGUCGCAAGAUUAAAACUCAAAGGAAUUGACGGGGACCCGCACAAGCGGUGGAUGAUGUGGAUUAAUUCGAUGCAACGCGAAGAACCUUACCUGGUUUUGACAUGUGCGGAAUCCUCCGGAGACGGAGGAGUGCCUUCGGGAGCCGUAACACAGGUGCUGCAUGGCUGUCGUCAGCUCGUGUCGUGAGAUGUUGGGUUAAGUCCCGCAACGAGCGCAACCCUUGUCAUUAGUUGCCAUCAUUCGGUUGGGCACUCUAAUGAGACUGCCGGUGACAAGCCGGAGGAAGGUGGGGAUGACGUCAAGUCCUCAUGGCCCUUAUGACCAGGGCUUCACACGUCAUACAAUGGUCGGUACAGAGGGUAGCCAAGCCGCGAGGCGGAGCCAAUCUCACAAAACCGAUCGUAGUCCGGAUUGCACUCUGCAACUCGAGUGCAUGAAGUCGGAAUCGCUAGUAAUCGCAGGUCAGCAUACUGCGGUGAAUACGUUCCCGGGUCUUGUACACACCGCCCGUCACACCAUGGGAGUGGGGGAUACCAGAAGUAGGUAGGGUAACCGCAAGGAGUCCGCUUACCACGGUAUGCUUCAUGACUGGGGUGAAGUCGUAACAAGGUAGCCGUAGGGGAACCUGCGGCUGGAUCACCUCCUUUCUAG
rnacentral:rRNA from 1 species